UUUCUUUAUUUCAAAGUGUCUAUCUUGCAAGGAAUAACAAACAUACCUUGGUCCUGACAUGUGGGGGGCAGUUUCCUCUUAAUUAUAGCUGAAACAUUUUCCCCAUACUUACCAUUUAAUUACAGCUCAGUCUUUUCUUGUUGGUGUACAACUCCUUUAAAAACUUGGCAUAUUGAGGUACUUGCUUAAUUAUAUUGAGUAGAAGAAUGUUUACCUUGACUUUGCAAAAAAAAUUUAGGAUCUCCU
rnacentral:lncRNA from 1 species